GAUUACAGACGACAGAGAAGACUCAGUUUUGAUUCUUAUUUAUUUGAGUAAGAAUCCUUAAAAGCCGUUACUAACCUCCUCACCUUUAAUCAGCCAGUCGCCGGGAGUCCCGGCAGCCCGGCUUUUACCGGGUGACCCCGUGAACCCGAAUGUGGUUCAGGGCAGCUAGGGCUGCCACCGCCGCCGCUCGUCAGGGAGCUGAGGUACGGCGAGGCGUGUGGCAGGGCAUUCCCCUUUCCCUGCGAAAAAUUCCGGGCAGCAAGGUGAGGCUGGGGGGAACCCCCACCCGCCCCGUGCAAACACAGUCACCUGGGAGAGCCGGGCAGCCGCCGCCGCUCCCGCUCAUUUUGAGCCCGGCGUUCAAUUUCUUGAAACGAGGACGGAAGGAAGCAACAAAUGGGAAGGAAACGGGCCCGCUUGUGAAAUCCAAAACCGGCUCGGGCGAGCUUUUUCCCCCCCCCGCGCCGAGGAUCACCGCCCGCUGCUGGAAGAUCCCGCCGCCUCCCAGCAUUGCGAACCAAAUGUUUCGGAAACAAAAAAAUAAUAAAAGGCAAAAGGGUUGGCAGCACAGAGGAGCCAGAUAGUGCCACGGCGCCUGGCUGCGGCAGUGCCGGCGAGUCCCUGGCUGCAGGAGCCAAGCCAGCAGCCCACUUCCACGGGAGCCUAAAAAAGUAAAUGAACAGCAGCAGCGGUGAGGAAAAGGCUGUCGCGUCGCCCUGGCGCUCGCCAAACGCUCGCCACCCCCACGGAUUCAAAGAAAUAAGUCGUUCUAGCGGGUUUAUAUAAUUUUAAGGGGUCUCGUUCCUCCUUUUAAGCCACUUUCCUGCUUAUUUUCUCUAUUUCUGGCCACGGUUCAGCAGCUCAUCAGAAGGUGGUCUAGUCCCUCAUUGCAGAUUCAAACACGCUUCUGUGCCAAAUUGACCUGCUGUUAUCCCCCCUUUCAGCUACUGUAACCAACACCGCACAAACAAUGAAUUAUGAGAUUAGAGUUACAGAAAAAUGGCCUCAUUCUGCAGAUGUUGUGUCUGGAACCGGCUGCUGCGUGGCCUCGUGUUUGUCGUGUCGUCUUCCUCACUCCCCCUCCUCCUCCUCCUCCUCCUCGCAGCCCCACCUUCGCUGGGUGGCGAUGCGUGCCAGGGAACCUGUUAUGUGAAGGGUUAAUUAGCAGCUUCCAACCCUGCCCCCCACUCUCCCCCCCAUUAAAAA